rnacentral:rRNA from 1 species
CACGUAGUUAGCCGGGGCUUCUUGGUCAGGUACCGUCAUUUUCUUCCCUGCUGACAGAGCUUUACAUACCGAAAUACUUCUUCACUCACGCGGCGUCGCUGCAUCAGGGUUUCCCCCAUUGUGCAAUAUUCCCCACUGCUGCCUCCCGUAGGAGUUUGGGCCGUGUCUCAGUCCCAAUGUGGCCGUCCACCCUCUCAGGCCGGCUACUGAUCGUCGCCUUGGUGGGCCGUUACCCCGCCAACAAGCUAAUCAGACGCGGAUCCAUCCCAUACCACCGGAGUUUUUCACACUGUACCAUGCAGUACCGUGCGCUUAUGCGGUAUUAGCACCUAUUUCUAAGUGUUAUCCCCCGGUAUGGGGCAGGUUACCCACGCGUUACUCACCCGUCCGCCACUAGGGUCCCAUUCCCUCCAUAUCAGUAAACUGAUGCUUCGUUCAUGGCACCCCCGUUCGACUUGCAUGUGUUAAGCACGCCGCCAGCGUUCAUCCUGAGCCAGGAUCAAACUCU